GGGGGCAGAGUGACAGGUGGUGCAUGGUUGUCGUCAGCUCGUGUCGUGAGAUGUUGGGUUAAGUCCCGCAACGAGCGCAACCCUUGAUCUUAGUUGCCAGCAUUCAGUUGGGCACUCUAAGGUGACUGCCGGUGACAAACCGGAGGAAGGUGGGGAUGACGUCAAAUCAUCAUGCCCCUUAUGACCUGGGCUACACACGUGCUACAAUGGGCAGAACAAAGGGCAGCGAAGCCGCGAGGCUAAGCCAAUCCCACAAAUCUGUUCUCAGUUCGGAUCGCAGUCUGCAACUCGACUGCGUGAAGCUGGAAUCGCUAGUAAUCGCGGAUCAGCAUGCCGCGGUGAAUACGUUCCCGGGCCUUGUACACACCGCCCGUCACACCACGAGAGUUUGU
rnacentral:rRNA from 1 species